rnacentral:tRNA from 1 species
UGGGAUGUAGCACAAUUGGCAGUGCACCUGACUGUUAAUCAGGGGGUUGGUGGUUCGAGUCCACCCAUCCCAG